AUGGACAUGGAGGGCGCCGAUGUGCUGGUGGACAUCCUCCGCUGCCUCCCGCCGAGGAGCCUGGCCGCCAUCCGCUGCGUCUGCAAGGCGUGGCGCGCCACCGUGGACGACCAUCGCCUCCUGCGCACCGACAUCCUCCCGCUCUCGCUCGACGGAGUCAUCUACGAGACGAGAGAAAUGGAUGACGACGCCCAGAGGCUCUUCGCCCGCCGCUCCACGGCGCACCAGAUCACCACCGGCCUCGAGCACAUCGACGGCAGUCCCGAUGAGGAGGUGUUGUUCCGGCCAAUGUAUGACUGUUGCAGUGGCCUCAUCUUGCUGCAUGAUCGCGUGGUCAACCCAGCCACGCGACAGUGGGCGAGAUUCCCCCGCCUCCGCCAUCGCGCACGUGCAGGUGCAGCUACGACUGUAAUAGCUGAUCACGCGGUGUCGCCACAUUACGAGGUGUUGCUUAUCCCUUGUGGUUGUAAUCCUGAAUCGGUUGGCGCGGUGGAGUGGCCAUCGUCGCCAUAUGUCAUCCAUGUGUUCUCAUCAAAGACUCGACGCUGGAAGGAUAGGUCACUUGUGCGACAAGGGGAUGCCACCGGGACAGCUGCCGACAUGGAUUUAUGGCCAGUGGAGUUGUUCCACUCUGCCUAUUGGCAAGGGGUACUUUACGUCCGGAGUCAAUACGGUUCAGUUUUAAGGUACUUAGAGCAUCUCCAAUAG
rnacentral:rRNA from 1 species